UGGGGAAUUUUGCACAAUGGGGGAAACCCUGAUGCAGCGACGCCGCGUGAUUUAGAAGGCUUUCGGGUUGUAAAAAUCUUUUUUACGGGAUGAAAAUGACAGUACCGUAAGAAUAAGGUCCGGCUAAAUACGUGCCAGCAGCCGCGGUAAUACGUAUGGACCGAGCGUUGUCCGGAAUCAUUGGGCGUAAAGGGUACGUAGGCGGCCUAGUAAGUUAGAAGUGAAAUAAUAUAGCUCAACUAUAUAAAGCUUUUAAAACUGCUAGGCUUGAGAGAUGGAAGGGAAAGUGGAAUUCCUAGUGUAGCGGUGAAAUGCGCAGAUAUUAGGAAGAAUACCGGUGGCGAAGGCGACUUUCUGGUCAUCAUCUGACGCUGAGGUACGAAAGCGUGGGUAGCAAACAGG
rnacentral:rRNA from 1 species